rnacentral:rRNA from 1 species
UAAUACUCCAUAGAUUAGAGACACUGGAAUGUUCUUUAGUCGAAAGUUCUGGCGCCUUAGGAUGGAUCUGCGGUCGAUUAGGUUGUUGUUGGGGUAACGGCCCAACAAGCCUGUAAUCGAUACGGGUUGUGGGAGCAAGAGCCCGGAGAUGGAAUCUGAGACACGAUUCCAGGCCCUACGGGGCGCAGCAGGCGCGAAAACUUUACAAUGCAGGAAACUGUGAUAAGGGAACUCCGAGUGCCCGUAUACGCGGGCUGUCCAGGUGUUUAAAAAUCAUCUGAAGAAAGGGCCGGGCAAGACCGGUGCCAGCCGCCGCGGUAAUACCGGCGGCUCGAGUGGUGGCCACAAUUAUUGGGCUUAAAGCGUCCGUAGCUGGACCGAUAAGUCUCUUGGGAAAUCCGCCGGCUCAACCGGCGGGCGUCUAAGGGAUACUGUUAGUCUAGGGACCGGGAGAGGUGAGAGGUACUCCGGGGGUAGGAGUGAAAUCCUGUAAUCCCCGGGGGACCACCGAUGGCGAAGGCAUCUCACCAGAACGGCUCCGACAGUGAGGGACGAAAGCUGGGGGAGCGAACCGGAUUAGAUACCCGGGUAGCCCAGCCGUAACUAUGCGCGUUAGGUGU